UACCGUGUAGGUCCGGAAAGGUCACCGACGAAAAUGGAGUCAGCCCGGCCGGGAGAAGAGUCUGCCCGGUCGUGAGAGAAAGCCCGGUCUCAAGAGACGGACGUGAGCGGAGAAAGCCCGGUCGCAGGAGACGACUGCGAGCAGAGAAAGCCCGGUCAGGAGCAGAGUCAGCCCGACCGUGAGCAGAAAAGAGGGUCCGGCCGCGAGAGAGAAGCGGAACCGGCCGAGUGAGAGAGCCGACCGCGAGAGAGAGACGCGGACCAGGCCCCGCGAUCGAAGCGGGACACAGCGCUUACCCAGCACCCGACAGCGGGGCACAGUCUCGACGAGCCGAGCAGCCAGGCGGGCCGGAGAGCCAGCGACGAGCCGAGCAGCGGGUCUAGCAGCAGCCUGGCGGGCCGGAGAGCCAGUGACGAGCCGAGCAGCGGCCAGGUGGGCUGUGGAGCCAGCAACGGGCGGUACACCGGGAGAUGGAGAGAAGGUCGCCUUCAGUGAUGGCCAGAGGAGUCGAAGGCCUCUCCCAGAGGGAGUAAUGGCCGCCACCGUGUUGCCCCAGACCAUCACCCGCAACCAAAGAUUGGAGCCCACGUCCACGCGGCAUUAACGGCUGCCAGAAAAAAAAAGUGACAGUCAGGAAACUGCGAAGGAGAUGGGAAAGAAGCA